CCUAUAUCCUGUUUUUUAAAAAAUUACCGCUAUUUUAGUAGGUGUGAAGUUGUAUCUUACUGUGUUUUGAUUUGCAUUUCCCUAAUGAUUCAUGAUGUUGAGCCUCUUUUUAUUUGCUUAUUGGCUGUUUGUAUUAUCUUCUUUGGAGAAAUGUGUCUAUUCAAACCUUUGCCUUUUAAAAAAGUGGACUAUUUGUCUUCUUGUUGAGUUAAAAGAGUUCUUUAUAUAUUCCAGAUAGUAGAUCCUUAUCAGAUACACGAUUUGCACACUCUUCUCCCAUUCUGAGUUGUCUUUUCACUGUUUUAUUGGUGUCCUUUUACCUGAGUAAGUUUUUAAUUUUGAUGAAGUCCAAGUUAUCUAUUUUUCUUUCUUAUGCUUUCAAUAUUAUAUCUAAGAAACUAUUCCCUAAUACAGGGUCACAUAGAUUUACACCUAUUUUUCUUCAAAUAGUUUUAUGCUUUACAUGUAGGCUUUUGCUCUAUUUUGAGUUAAUUUUUGCCUCUGAUGAGAGAUACAGGUCCAAAUUGGUUCUUUUGCAUGUGGAGAUCCAGUUGUCCCAGUGUCGCCAUUGUUGAAAUGACUAUUCUUUCCUCCACUGAAUGGUCUAGGAACAAUAUGCUUUUGGCAUAAACUGAUAUAUUUAAUGGAUGUAUCCUAUUCUUUUUAAUAUUAUAAUUUGUGUUGCUUCUAAAAAAUACUCUUAAUAAUAAAGCAUUCAUGUAUUUAAUAAAUAUGCAUCAACAGUCUUCCUGGGCACACACCGUGAAUAGGACACAGUUCCUGGGCUCCAGCAGACUACAUUCCAGAGGGGGAGAGGCAGUGAAGGAGCAGGGAAGGAACACACAAAACAGCGGGUGAUGAGAGCUCUAAGAGCAAACAGAUCAGACAGAGGUGGGAAUACGGGACUGGGUAAGCAUGUGCUUUGGAUCAGAAGGGCCGCAGAGUCCUCCCGGAGGAAUCAGAAUCAGCUGCGCCAAGUCUCUGAGGCUGGAACCAGCUUGGCCUGCUGGAUGAACUGGGAAAAAGAGGUAGGGUGCGGGGGAAGGGUGGGGGGCAGCAGGAGAGUGGCGGGAAGUGAGGGAAACAGGUCGGGAGGGGAGGGAGGCCAUAGGGAGGGUGGGGUGAGCAUAAUUUGAUGUGCGAUUUUUAGAUCAUAAAAC
rnacentral:lncRNA from 1 species